CAACUCCAAAAGAAACGUUAUCACCCAUGCUAUUUUAAUUUUUAGCUAGAAGGAUCAAAAACCGGUCUUCAACAGACACGCUACCGCCCUUGCUAUUUUGGCUCACACUUCAUCCCGCUCCUCCUACACGCCAAAUCUGGCAUGUCUCGCCCCCACGCCAUUCCCCAACCGCCGCUCUGCCCCGUUCGCUCCCGCAACCAUCCGGACUCUGCGUCCCCUGUUCCUCUUCCUUCUCCCCGAGCACAUCUCCGAGCCACACCGCCAUAGCCAGGGCCACCCCUCAUCUCCUGCCUCUAUCAAAAAAUCCAAGCCGCCCCUUCCUAUCUCAAUCCAGUUCAAAUCGCUGCCGCAAAUGAGUUGAACCCUCGUUCUUCCUUCUUGGGGGAUAAGUGUGUGUGUGUUUCUUCCCAUUUUUCAUUGUAGAUUUCUUUGAUGUUCGUUCGAUUUGUUGUUCUUCAUGAGGAUCAUGUGUAAAAUACGGUAUAUAUGCUAAUUUUGCCGAUCCUUUCUGCAGUUUGAGGAACAACAUCUAGCAAUUUCGGGAUUUGUCACAACACCAUCAAAGUGAACUGGUAAAUUCUUUCUUUCUUGCAGCUUUAAUGCAUUUCAUACUGCGGCGAAGCAGGGCCAUAUGGGUUAGUUUUAUUUCUUUCAUCAUUACUUAUAAUUUAUUGAAUUUGAUCCUGGUGAGUUCUAUGUGCCAAGUUCAUUAGUUGAUUAUUAGGCUAAUGUAGAUUGGAAUUCUUUAAUAUGUGGAUUCGAUGGCUUGUGCUUGCAGUUCGGUGUGACCAUUCAUAUUGGUUUAUUUGUGCGUGCAGCUGGUAUGUUUAUAAAAAUUGACUUGUAUCCCAUUGACUUCUGCAAAUCUCUGUGAUCAUGGAUGCUCAUCUUGUGCAACAUGAGGCUGGAGUAGACUUGAGGCCAAAAACAA